rnacentral:rRNA from 1 species
UACAGAGGUGGCAAGCGUUGUUCGGAAUUACUGGGCGUAAAGGGCGCGUAGGCGGCCUUCUAAGUCAGACGUGAAAUCCCCCGGCUUAACCUGGGAACUGCGUCUGAUACUGGGAGGCUUGAGUAUGGGAGAGGGAUGUAGAAUUCCAGGUGUAGCGGUGAAAUGCGUAGAUAUCUGGAGGAAUACCGGUGGCGAAGGCGGCAUCCUGGACCGACAUUGACGCUGAGGAGCGAAAGCUAGGGGAGCAAACGGG